AAACAACGRRRARRAMCUAMCARGGAUUCCCCUAGUAACUGCGAGUGAAGCGGGAAAAGCUCAAAUUUAAAAUCUGGUAGUCUCUGGCUGCCCGAGUUGUAAUCUAGAGAAGUGUUAUCCGCGCUGGACCGUGUACAAGUCUCCUGGAAUGGAGCGUCAUAGAGGGUGAGAAUCCCGUCUUUGACACGGACUACCAGGGCUUUGUGAUGCGCUCUCAAAGAGUCGAGUUGUUUGGGAAUGCAGCUCUAAAUGGGUGGUAAAUUCCAUCUAAAGCUAAAUAUUGGCGAGAGACCGAUAGCGAACAAGUACCGUGAGGGAAAGAUGAAAAGAACUUUGGAAAGAGAGUUAAAUAGUACGUGAAAUUGUUGAAAGGGAAACGCUUGAAGUCAGUCGCGUUGGCUAGGAAUCAGCCUUGCUUUUGCUUGGUGUACUUCCUUGUUGACGGGUCAGCAUCAAUUUUGACCGGUGGAAAAAGACUAGUGGAAUGUGGCAUCUUCGGAUGUGUUAUAGCUGCUAGUUGUAUACAUCGGUUGGGAUUGAGGAACUCAGCACGCCGAAAGGUCGGGGUUUUGCCCACGUUCGUGCUUAGGAUGCUGGCAUAAUGGCUUUAAUCGACCCGUCUUGAAACACGGACCAAGGAGUCUAACAUGCCUGCGAGUGUUUGGGUGGAAAACCCGAGCGCGUAAUGAAAGUGAAAGUUGAGAUCCCUGUCGUGGGGAGCAUCGACGCCCGGACCAGACCUUUUGUGACGGAUCCGCGGUAGAGCAUGUAUGUUGGGACCCGAAAGAUGGUGAACUAUGCCUGAAUAGGGUGAAGCCAGAGGAAACUCUGGUGGAGGCUCGUAGCGAUUCUGACGUGCAAAUCGAUCGYCAAAUUUGGGUAUAGGGGCGAAAGACUAAUCGAACCAUCUAUUGCCC
rnacentral:rRNA from 1 species